UUUAAAAUGGAGGGAAGAAAACAUGUCUAGUGUUUUCUUUAUUGCUUUAAAAUGCUUCUAUUCAAAUAGUAAAAAACUUAAACUGAAUCUCAGAAAGUACCAAAUCCAAACUUUUCAUUAUAUAGUUGAGAAAAUGAGCUCAAAGAGGAAGGACAAAUGCUUAUACUAGUAUGACCAACUGGUUGGUUGUUUAUAUAAUUUCUUUCUUCUUCCACCUUGAUAGUUAGGUAUGACCUCGUGAUGAAGUUCUACUCAAUAAAAGGUGGGCAAAUGUGAUGCACUCCACCUCCAGAUGGGGCUCAUCAGAAACUCUCUGUUUGAUCCUCCAGGCUUUUUACCUGUCUGUUGAACUGAGUGAAGGACCCAGAGGCCCUAUGAUGUGGUGUAGCUUCAAGAGAAGGAAGCCUAGAUCCCUGAAUCAUUGUGGAGAGCAUACUUAUCCUACACUCAUAUAGGACUGCAGUACUGAACAUCUGGAGGCCUGAUUUAUUGGAGAUUACAAAUGUACAGUAUAACAUAGGUGUGGAGAGCGAGAAGAUCAGGAUUGUCAAUACUGUCAUUGCUUUUACUGGAAUCCUCAGGAUGAAUUGAAGGUUUGACCAGAGACAAAGAAGCAAACGCUAUAAAUUAACAUUCACAUAUGGUAGGUAAGCCUGUAAGUUGCUUUGGACUUUGCUUGCCUCAGAUAUCUUAGAUCCAAAGUGGGGAGAAAGUGGAUAAAGGUCAGUGUCAAUUGUUGAAAAGGGAAUCACAGGGAGGUCAAAAGCACAGUAAAACUGGAGUCAGAAAGUCAGAAUGCCUGUGUUCAAGGUCAGGGUCUUAAAAUUUUUUAGUGCGCCAUCUCUGGUGAGUUACUUAAUUUCU